rnacentral:rRNA from 1 species
CCUACGGGGGGCAGCAGUGAGGAAUAUUGGUCAAUGGCCGGGAGGCUGAACCAGCCAAGUCGCGUGAGGGAAGACGGCCCUACGGGUUGUAAACCUCUUUUGUCAGGGAGCAAGGUGCAGGUCGGGACCUGCUGUGAGAGUACCUGAAGAAAAAGCAUCGGCUAACUCCGUGCCAGCAGCCGAGGUAAUACGGAGGAUGCGAGCGUUAUCCGGAUUUAUUGGGUUUAAAGGGUGCGCAGGCGGAGGCACAAGUCAGCGGUAAAAUCGCGGGGCUCAACCCCGCUCCGCCGUUGAAACUGUGUGCCUUGAGUGCGCGACGGGUAGGCGGAAUGCGUGGUGUAGCGGUGAAAUGCAUAGAUAUCACGCAGAACUCCGAUCGCGAAGGCGGCCUACCGGCGCGCAACUGACGCUCAUGCACGAAAGCGUGGGUAUCGAACAGGAUUAGAUACCCUUGUAGUC